CCCCUCUCAGGGUCGCACCUGGAGAGUUUCCAGUAGUCUACCAGUCUCGACUACGGGAGGGAGAGUCAAGCAGAGGCCUGCCCGUUCCAUUCCUAGUUUGGCCAGUGGCUAGCGAGUGGAAGGCCAUCUGCUAUAAGU
rnacentral:snoRNA from 1 species